rnacentral:tRNA from 1 species
CGUAGGGUGGACCAAUGGUAAGUCGUCGGGCUCAUAACCCGAAGAUGCUGGUUCAAAUCCGGCCCCUACCA